rnacentral:lncRNA from 1 species
CAUUACCAGCCUUCCCCCAACUUUAAAUAAAAAGAACAGAGAGCUUCCCUGCUCUCUCCCCCUUUCCCUUCUCUUUUAUUUUUUGCUAGGGUUUCAAAGAAACCCAUCAUUGCCGCCUUUCAACCGCCGCGCCACCACCGCACUCGGUGGCCGGCGAUACACCAAAAUAGGCUCCUUUAGCUCUCCCCUUUUUUACUUGUUGGAGGCUAGUUCCAAAAACAAAAAGACAAGGGUUCAACCCCCUUUUUAGACUCAACCACACCGAACGAAGGGGAAGGCUCCGAUAACGCAGCGGCGGGGCCGGAUCUGGUGAGAAUCCUUCCUCUUUCCUUUUAUUUUUUCUUUUUUGUAUCUUUGUUUAAUAGAUUUGUAUAAAAAAUAAAAGAAAUAUUAAAGAAGUAAGAAAACGAAAAACGAAAAUAAAGAGAACAAAAUCGGAGAUCAACCUUCUGUGUAUUUUUUAUUUGAUUCCUUUAAAAAUACACGAGUGAUACAAUUUUUGGAUCCUCCCUUUUACUAUGAAAAAUUGAAGGCUUUAUAGCCAAAAACCAUACAUUUUCUAGCUAUUUCUUUGCUCCAAUUGCAGGUGUUGAAGUUGUGGAGAACGAGGGGCGUGAAACAUGGGCGAAAACAUGGAGCGGGGUAUACGGGGAUCCUGUCUGGAGUGCUGACGUGGGGGUUGAGUUUGUAGUCUGCUGAAAAUUUUUGAGAUAGUGGGCUGGUAGGGUUAGUUUAGGUUGUGGGCUGAUGGGGGUUUUAAUUUGGGCCAUGUAUUAUUAAUUAAACUGUUUUAUUAUUAUUAUUUUUUUUUAUUUGGGCUCGGGCUAAGGUUGAAAUUAGGUUUGGUUUUAUUGGGCCCCAGACAAAAUUUGGGCCUUACAGCUGCCCCUCUUUGCUCGUUGUCGUGUAACGAGAAUAGAGCAAAGACUUAAUGAAGGGCCAAAUUUGCCGGGACCUACCAACCCUCGACUUCUCUUGACGCUUCUUUUCUUCAAGUAGCCUCACUGCAUCCUCAAAGGUAUAAGAACUAUUGCUCUAAUUAUUCCACUGCGACUACUUGUGGCUUUAACCUAUUCCACUGCAACUUUAGGAAGAUGAGGUUUGUGGGUUUAAUGUGUUCUUCUACAAUUGUAGCUUGAUCUGCUCCAUUGUAACUUCAAGGAGAUAAGAUCCGUUGUCUUCAGUCUGCUCCACUACAAUUUUAGGGAGAUAAGACUAGUGAUUUUCAGCCUAUUACCCUAUCGCUUAGGGGAUUAAGGCUUAGUGGCUUGAAUCUGCUUCACUGCAACUUCAGGAAGGCAAGAUUUGUAAUUUUCAGCCUAUUACCCUACUUCUUAGGGGAUUAAGGCUUGGUGGCUUGAAUCUGUUUCACUGCAACUUCAGGAAGGCAAGAUUUACCGUCUUCAAUCUGUUCCACUGCAACUUCAGGGAGACAAGAUCUAUUUUGAUCUGUUCUACUGCAAUUUCAGAGAGAUAAGAUCUGUAAUUUAGCUUCAAUCUGUUCCACUGCAACUUCAGGGAAAUAAGAUUUGCUAUAUUUGAUCUACUCCACUGCAAUCUCAGGGAAACAAGAUCUACAAUCUUCAGCCUACUCCACUACAACUUUAGGGAGUUAGUAUGGUGGCUUAAAUCUGCUUCACUGCAACUUCAGGAAGGCAAGAUUUAUCAUCUUCAAUCUGUUCCACUGCAACUUCAGGGAGACAAGAUCUGUAGAAUUGAUCAAUAUCGCUACAUCGUCUUCUAAAGACAUGAUUUGUAGAGUGGGUUUCCUGUAUCUAUGUUUAUGUCAAAUAAUUAGGAUGCCAUGAUCGAAAUGAGCCAAAUGAUCCUAACUAAAUGAAUGAUUAUGAAUGUAUAAACAUCAUGAGAGUGGUUUCUUUUUAAAUGUUUAAGGUAUCGUUGCUCAUAGUUCAUCCGGGUUCUAUCAUUAAUGCACUAUCGUGUCUUCCUGCUUAGUCGUUAUCUUUGAUAGAAGAUUCAAAGAAAUAGUCACAACUUAGACUAUUCUUUUUCCAAUGUUUCCCGCUUUUGAGUCUGGUUAGUUCUGCCUAGUGGCCUACUUCAGGUCCUUAUACUAUUUAGAAACUUUCCAGAGAAGUAUGUGUAACCUCUUUUAUGUGAAUAUUAUAAGUCCAAAAAUCGUGAUUUCAAAAAAAAUGCUCGAAAGAGAUUAUCAUAAUGGACAAGAUGGAAUUUUAUUGAGCAAAACUUGAUGUGAAUACAUUAAACAGGACAGCAAAUCUGGUAAGGCUCAAAAUAAAAUGAGGAAAAGGUGCCCCAGAUAUCGCAGCACGAGUUUUACUAUUCUAAUUUCUCAAAGGCUCCUUCGAACUAAAUGUGUGUUUAGGAGAUCCUACGUCUUUUGUUGAUGUUCCAAGGUGUAACAUUCUUCUGUCUUGCUGAUUUCGGGAGGACAAGACUGUCAUAUGCCCCAUAUUCAAAAUUUGAACUGCCCAUUUUCGGGUUUUCAACUCAAAGGCCCCUUUGGUUCCAAAGUGCCCUUUGCGAGUUUUCACCUUGGCCUCUCCUCUUUUUUUUUCUUUUUUUGCGAAUUCAGAGCACCCUUUGUCGAUUUUCACACUGGCCACUCUUUCUUCAGGUGAAAUACUUCUUGACCGAAUCCGAGUUUACAGGAUUGGGCAAGUUUUUACCGUCCAUCUCAGCUAGAAUCAAUGCUCCUCCAGAGAAAGCUUUCUUCACCACGUAAGGCCCUUCCCAAUUAGGUAUCCAUUUCCCUCGAAAGUCCUUUUGUAUGGGAAGGAUCUUUUUCAAAACCUUUUUUUCAUAAGCCUACAUCAUUCGCUUUUGGUACAUCUGACCAUGAUGGAUAGCUCUUAACCUCUUUUCCUCAAUUAGGUUUAAUUGAUCAUAUCGAGACUGGAUCCACUCAGCUUCUUCUAACUUUAACUCCGAAAACACUCGAAGAGACGGGAUCUCGACUUCAAUUGGCAACACUGCUUCCAUUCCGUAAACCAAAGAGAAAGGGGUUGCCCCAGUUAAGGUUCUGACUGACGUUCGAUAAGCAAAGAGGGCAAAUGGUAACUUCUCAUGCCAGUCUCUGUAGGUUUCGGUCAUCUUCCCCACAAUUUUCUUAAUGUUUUUAUUGGCCGCUUCCACUGUCCCAUUCAUCUUUGGGCGAUAUGGUGACGAGUUGUGAUGUCUGAUCUUGAAUAUACUGCAGACUUUCGCUAUCGUACUAUUGUUCAAGUUUAAUGAAUUGUCAGAUAUAAUCCUCUCCGGUAUUCCAUAUCGACAUAUAAUCUCCUUUUUCAGAAAAUUUCUCACUGCCGACUUGGUCACACUAGCAUACGAAGCGGCUUCUACCCAUUUGGUGAAGUAGUCGAUAACCACGAAGAUGAACUGAUGCCUAUUGGAAGCUUUCGGCGAUAUUGGUCUAAUCACAUCCAUGCCCCACAUAGAGAAUGGCCAUGGAGAAACCAUGACAUGCAGCGGUGAAGGAGGCACAUGAAUUUUGUCUUCGUAGAUUUGACACUUAUGACAUCUCUUAGCGUAAUUGACACAGUCUCCUUCCAUGGUGGACCAAUAGUACCCGAAUCUCAUAAUUUUCCUAGCCAUUCUAAAGCCAUUAGCAUGUGUCCCACAGACGCCUUCAUGGACUUCUUCCAAGAUUUUCUUAGCCUCUACAACAUCUACACAUCUUAGUAGCACUUGAUCCUUUCUUCUUUUGUAUAGGAUAUGUAACACUCCGGACCCGAGACCGUUGCUGGAGUCGGACACGAGGGGUUCACAGACUAAAUUCGCUUACUAUCGCAGUCCAUUUUAAAAUUUUCCAGGCAGUUGGCUAACUGCGACACUGUCACCUUAAAAAUCAUAUCUUGAGUUUCACAACUCGAAAAUCAGUUUCGUAAUUUUUUUCUGAAACUAGACUCAUAUUCCCAUCUAAAUAUUUUUUUCUAGAAUUUUUGGUUGGGCCAAUUAGUACAGUUUAUUAGUCAAAGUCUCCCAUGUUACAGGGAUCGACUACACUGACCUUUGCGCAUUACGACUUGGAUAUCUCCCUGCACAGAGCUUCAAUACUGAUGCCGUUUGUUUCUAUAGAAACUAGACUUAGAGAGGAAUCUAUAAAUAUAUGGAAUGACUCCUAAUUAUCUCUGGUUAAUUUAUAAUUAAUUUCCAAAGUCGGAACAGGGAAUCCAGAAACUGUUCUGGCCCUGUCUCACAAGAACCUGAAUAUCUCUUAACAUACUGUCCAUAUGAUCGUUUCGUUACUUUCCUAUGAAAAUAGAUUCAUCAAGGUUCGUUUACAUAAUUUAUUCAUUAUUUAAUUCCAAUCCUACUAUUUUUAGUGAUUUUCCAAAUCUACAUCACUGCUGCUGCUAGCAUCUGCCUUUAAGGUAGACUUUACCUAUUUCAUAGUUUCCAUGAUUCAACUAGCCCUUUUAGCAUAAAUAGCACAAAUUAUGAUAGUGAUUAACCAUUCCAUACCAAAUGAUUAUAACAUUAUGCUCAAACAUAUAUAAGCCAUUUUCGCAUGGCUAUAUACAUUAACCAAAAUAUUCUUCCACCACUAGUCUAUUUUAUACAUGCCAUAAGAUAAUCCAAAACAUAGCAGUACCAAACAGUGGAUAGUGAUAGUGUGAUUAGUUGCUGACGAUCCCCGAGCCUGUAGCUUCGCAAUGAUAUCUAUAAAACAGAGGAAACAGAGUAAACGGAGUAAGCAUUACAAUGCUUAGUAAGUUUUAAGCAGUGUCAACAGAUAACAAUCAAAUUAUAACAUAGUUGUUCGUAUUUUUAUUUCACUCUUCCUUCGAGCAUACCAUCCCUUUUACCGAAUAUGCACGUCUCAUCAUAUACAAUAGGCAGAUAAACUUUCACAUAAAAGUGAGCUCAUGUGACAUAGAUAUAUCGUAUGAUUUCACAUCACCUCUCACACUGAUCCGAUGUCACAUAAUCAUAGGAAUAGUCUCAUAGAUUGCUCUCGUAUGCAUCACAUAACUACCUUAUGAUUUAGUGCAAAUCAAGCUCACAUAUAAACUUGGAGUACAUACCUAUUGAACCUUUCGCAUUGAAUAUAUUUAUAAGCAAUUCUUAUUACGAAGUCUUACCCGGACAUAAUCUCCACACGUAGUCAUCGGGUCUUUAGAGCUCGGAUACAGUACGAGCACGAAGCUUACGGACCUUAAUCAGUGAUAAUAUUCUCGCAUAAAGCCUGCGGGGUUUUAACCCGGAUAUAGUGCUGACACAAAUGCCCUUCGGGACUUAUCACAUUUAUACACUUUCACAUCCAUCACGUUGGCCACUCGGCCCUGUUACAUAUAUACACUUUCACAUUCAUCACAUCGGCCAUUAGGCCUUAUCACAUAUAUACACUUUCACAUUCAUCACAUCGGCCAUUAGGCCUUAUCACAUAUAUACACUUUCACAUUACCAACCCUUUUAUUCAUACACAAAGAUCAACUUAGCCAAAGGCCGGUAGCUCAUUUAUCAACUGAGCGAAUACUUAUUUGUAAGGGCUCAACUAAUUCAAAGCACAUACGAAACAUACCUCAAUGUUGGGAUGUUUCAAGCGUAUUAACUGAAAUUUUUAUAGCAAGAUCAUUCAUUCCCAAAUCACAUACCUUCAGAAUUUAACCGGAUAUAGCUACUCGUUCAAAUGCCUUCGGGACAUAGCCCAGUUAUAGUAACUCGCACAAAUGCCUUCGGGCUUAGCCCGGAAUUAGUAUCUUGCACAAAUGCCUUCGGAUCUUAGUCCGGAUAUGGUCACUUAGCACAAAGCCUUCAGGACUUAGCCCAGACAUCAUUCAAAUAACCAUGCACAUUUAACAAUAAAUCAUGGCACAUUCGUAUUUCAUUUUCGUUAGCAAAACUCAAACACAAGACACUCAUCAUUCUUGAAAUUUCGGCUCAAUAGCCACACACAAAGAGCAUGAUUUUGAUUUGCUUAAAACAUGAUCUAAUCAAAUCAUAAUUUAAGCUCUAUUACUCAAGAACUUACAAUAUCACGAUUUAGAAUUCAAGUAUGGGUUUAAUCAAUAGCUUGUGAGCAACUAAAACAAGUUUAUCAAGGUUCACAACAUAAUCUCAAAUUCAGCACAAGCUAUUUUUCCUGAGCAAUAGUCACUAAAUUAUUUAUAACUGGAGCUAAAAAACUCCAAAUCACUUUCUGUUAAUUUUUCCUGAAUAUAGACUCGUAUAUCUUCCACCCAUAAAAUUUCCAGAAUUUUAGGUUUGGCCAAUCAAUACCAGAUUUUUCUUAAAUUUUCCCCUGUUUCACUAUUUGACUAAUCUGACCACUCUUCACUACGAAUCAAAUUUCUCAUUUUAAAGAAUUCAAAAUGUGUUGUAUUUGAUUUCAUUUGAAACUAGACUCAUUAAGGAGUCUAAGCAUAUAAAUUUUAUCUUAUAACCAUUUUUGUACAAUAUAUAAUGAUUUUCUAAAAACAGAACAGGGGAUUUCAGAGUCAUUCUGACACCGUCUCACACAACUUUAAAUAUCUCAUUAUCGGAAAUUCCUUUGCUUACACGGUUUCUUUUAUAAGAAACUAGACUAAUUAAGCUUUAAUUUCAUGUCUCAUUCAGCCUCUAAUUCAAGUCCAUAAAUUUAUGGUGAUUUUCUAAAGUCACGUUACUGCUGCUGUCCGAAGCAGACUAUUUCAAAUUACCCUUAAAUUCCCAAGCUCAAACACUUAAGAACUUACCAUUUGAGCUUAGAACAUAUCAUGGCCACAUCAUAUCUUAUUAAAUCAACUCAUCAUGUCCUAUUAUAAUUGAAUUUACUCAACGUUUAAACACUUAAAACUUACAAAGGAAUCAAACUCAAAUACUUAAGAACUUACCUUGAAUUUGAUCGACUUAGUACAAAUCGGCUAUUCAACUACUUUCUCUUUUCCCCUAUCCGAAGUUGGUGUCCUUUGUUCUUGAGCUAGAUUUAAACAAAUUCAAAUCAUUACUAAUCCAUAAUUCAUGCACCUUAUUUCGGGUAUAUCAAAAAUCAUUCAACCAAGUAUUCAAAUAUAGCUUAACACCAAAUUCACAUUCGGCAUUCUAUUAACGCAACAUAACCAUUUUCACCUUGUUAACACAUAAUCGGCAAGGUUAAAUCCCAUAUACACAACUUAAGUCCAUCCUUUAACAAUCAUAAUUCACUAUAAGGCCGAAAGCUACCUAAACAUCACUCUCAAGUCUCUUUUUACCAUUUAACAACCUUAAAGCUUACUUAAUAGUCAAUUUAAAAUAAAAAAAAAAAACAACAUCCAAAAUUUAACACAAUGCCACAUAGCCGAAUACCACUUUUAGUAAUGAAAUUCAUCUUUAACACAAAAUUACUAAGCCUCACUUAAUAAUUAACUAUUUAGAACUCUCAAACAUCAAAUACUUCAAAUUUUAUGCAAUCCACACCAUAGCUGAAAUGCUUAAUAUAAGAAAUUGAGUUAAAUUUGAGCUAAAUUUAAGCUCCCAAUCAUAAACUAAACUUAUAACUUUACACACUCAAUAAUUUUAACAUUAUCAAGUCCAUCCAACACUUAUCCAGCAACUUUUAACUUUAAAAACAAAUCCCUAGCUCAAAAACACAUGAACCGAACUUAAUACGCCACUUAGACCAAAAUUAGCAAAUGGGUUUCGGCUAGAUAAAGAAGUGAAGCUCGUAUUCAUCAAAAUUUAACAAAAUUACAAUGAAAUUACCUUAGAAAUUGGCCUCCAAAAGACCGAACAUUCCCAAAACACUUUCCCCUUUUUCUUUCUUUAGUUUCGGCUAGAACCCAAAAACAAUGAAGUCUCCCCUCCUUCCCUAGCUCACGGCACUUCAAGAAAAGAAAGAAGAUGAAGACUUUCUCUUGCUUUCUUAUUUUAUUCCCCCUUUCUUUUUUUUUUUGAUCUAUUUUAAUCAUUUACUAAUAAAAGCAUCAUUAAAAAUUCAACUUAAUGGAAGAACCAUCCUUGCUUGGCCGGCCACUAUUUGAGGUUUGGGUGAUUUGACAUGCAAACCCAAGUUUCCUCACUUUGUUAUCAUUUGAUCCUUACAUAUUCCCCUAUCAUAUUUUCUUAGGUUCUCAACUAAGUCAAUCACAUGAAAUUCACCUUCAUAAGUCUAAAUUAAAACAUCAAAUUUUCACACAUGCACUAUGGUUUAAAUUCAUGAACAAUUACAUAAAAAUCACAUUAACAUACCUUUGAUUUAUGAACUAACCAUGGCCGAAUGCCUUGGCUUCUUCUUUUCCGUUUUUUUUCUUUCACUAGUUACGGCAAUGGGGAAAAGAAAGAUGGACAUACCUUGUUUCUAUCACUCUUUCCUUCUUUUAAUUAUUCUUUCUUCCAUAAUAUAAAGCCAUUAACUAUUAUCAUGCUAAAAUAAAAUGCAUAUAAUAUCUAUCAACUAUCAUUAUGGCCGGCCACUAAUUAAAAGUGGUCCAUUUGACAUGCAAGUCCCUCAUGUCAAUAACUCAUGCAUUAUUUGGCCACUUUAAAUUUCACCUAUCACAUUUUCAAGUCUUAUCACAUGGGUCCUUUCUUAUAAAUUAACACCGCCUUGAUAAAAUCAAGGCACGAAAUAUUCGCACAUACAAAUUCCACAUUCAAUAAGCACAGAAUAUAACAUCUGAUUAUUUUUGUGACUCGGUUUUGGGGUUCCAAAACCACUUUCGACUAGGGUCAAAUUAGGGGUGUCACAGGAUAUCUCCAUCUAAGACAUAGUCGAUGGCCAAUCUUUUUAGCGUUCUUUUGUCAUUCUCGCUUGCCUGGUCCAGGUAUUCACGAUUCUUCACGUAUUGCAAUAUAUCGUGACACCAAGGGUGAUAAUCUCUCUCUUCAUCUUCUUCAAUAUUAUAACAGUGGGCCGGAGUUCCAUAAAUGUUCAUCCGGAUGGGUUUGACAUCUUCUUGUUUGUUCACCUUGAUCAUGGAGGCUAAGGUAGCCAAAGCAUCAGCCAUCUGAUUUUCAUCUCGUGGAAGGUAGUGGAAGGUAAUGUCAUCAAAAUCUUUAACCAAUUCCAGGACCAGCUUCCGAUAAUCGAUUAACUUGGGGUCUGUGGUCUCUCAUUCUCCCUUGAGUUGAUAAAUCACUAGCGCAGAAUCUCCAUACACCUCUAGCACUUUAAUCUUGCGUUCUACAGCUGCACGGACUCCCAUGAUGCACGCCUCAUAUUCCGCCAUGUUAUUUGUACAAUCAAAAUCCAAUUUACUAGUGAAUGGAUAAUGAUCUCUGUUUGGGGAUACCAAGACGGCCCCGAUUCCAUUGCCCAUAGCAUUUGACGCCCCAUCGAAGUUUAAUUUCCAAGGAAGUUCUUCCAGGGCACCUUCUUCAGUGGUAGCAACACAUAUUAGGUCUUCAUUUGAGAAGUCAAAGUUCAAAGGCUCGUAGUCUUCCAAGGCUCUACUGCCCAAAAAAUCUGCUAUUGCACUUCCUUUUACUGUUUUCUGGUUCACAUAGACUAUGUCGAAUUCAGAAAGUAGAAUCUGUCAUCGGGCCAUCCUUCCAUUCAAAGCUGUUGACUCCAUCAUGUACUUCAAGGGGUCCAAUUUUAAGAUAAGCCAAGUGGUGUCAUAUAACAUAUACUGUCUUAGUCUUCGGGUUGUCCAAAUUAGGGCACAACACAACUUCUCUAUCGGCAGAUACCUCGCCUCACAUUCCGUGAACUUUUUACUGAGAUAGUAAAUAGCUUUUUCUUUCCUCUCUGACUCGUCAUGCUGACCUAAUACGCAUCCCAUGGAGUUCUCGAAUACUGCCAAAUACAGUAUCAACGGCUUAUUGGGGUUAGGUGGCAUCAGCACUAGGGCGUUGGAUAAAUACUAUUUGACCUUGUCGAAAGCCCUUUGGCAUUCUUCAUCCUAUUCACCUAGGCUAUGUUUCUUGAGGAGGCGAAAGACAGCGUCACAUUUCUUGGUCAGUUGUGAAAUAAACCGAGCAAUGUAAUUUAAUCUUCCUAGAAAGCCUCGAACUUCUUUCUGAGUGCGCGGCGGGGAUAGCUCUUGUAUGGCUUUAACUUUGUCUGGGUCAAUCUUGAUCCCUUUCUCACUAACCACAAAUCUGAGCAACUUUCCAGACUUGGCUGCAAAGGUACAUUUGGCGGGGUUGAGUUUUAGCUGAAACUUCCUCAACCUCAAGAAUAAUUUUCCUAGGACUUGUAUGUGCUCCUUCUCUAUUCGAGACUUAGCUAUCAUGUCAUCAACAUAGACCUCGAUUUCUUUAUGCAUCAUGUCGUGAAAAAGGGUUACCAUGGCUCUUUGAUAAGUUGCCCCCGCAUUCUUCAGUCCAAACGGCAUCACUUUGUAGCAGAACGUGCCCCACAUGGUUACAAAUGUGGUUUUCUCCAUAUCUUCAGGAUGCAUCUUGAUCUGGUUAUAUCCCGAAAAAUCGUCCAUGAAUGAAAACAGUGAGUGUCCCGCCGUUUUGUCCACUAGGGUGUCAAUAUGAGGUAGUGGGAAAUUGUCUUUUGGGCUGGCUUUAUUCAAAUCUUUGUAGUCCACACACAUUCGCACUUUUCCAUCUUUCUUAGGGACAGGGACGAUGUUAGCUACCCAAUCUGAGUAUUUUACCACCUUCAGGAAUCCAGCGUCAAACUGCUUUCGAACUUCUUCCUUUAUUUUUAGCAAGACGUCGAGCCUCAUUCUUCGGAGUUUUUGCUCAACAGGCUUACACUCUUCUUUUAUGGGGAGUCGGUGCAACACAAUGUCAGUGUCCAACCUGGGCAUAUCUUGGUAUGACCAUGCGAAGACAUAUUUGAAUUCUUGAAGUAAUUUAAUGAGGUCUCGCUUCAUUUCUGCAGUGAUACCUGUUCCGAUCUUCACCUCUUGUCCUUCUCCUAAGCUCACAAUUUCGACUGAUUCUUUGUGAGGUAGGAUUUGUUUCUCGUCUUGUUCUACCAUCCUCAACAAAUCAGGAGAUAGGUUACAGCCUUGGUCAUCUUCAAAAUCCUGAUAAUCAUCCAUACACACAUCUUGCUCGAAAGAAAAUUCUGAGUCGCUAGCAGUGUCACUCGUAUCAUUAAUAUCUGGGGACCUGUUAUGAGGACGAAGGCAGAUACAAAGAAUCAAAAGAAUUCGAAACAUUUAUUUGCGUGAUAUGAUUAUGAAUGACGAAUGAAAGAAUAUUUAAAAGAAUGUUUCAAGAAUAAAAGAAUUCGAAAGCAAUCAUUUGUAUGGUUAUAAAUGGAAUUUAAAGGACGAGAUACCAUUUGCUCAAAAAUGAUAAUAACCGUGCAUUUUACUGAAAUGUCAUUUUUAAACAUCGGCCUAUUUCACAAAAGAUUUUUAUUACUCCUAGGCCUAGAGCAAUAAGUGUGUUUUGGACAUUACUCUAAAUCCGUUCUAAAAACUACAAGAAUCUCUUUCGCAGUCCAGUUGUUCAGAACACUUCCAGGUUUGCAGAGGCAAAUGCCCGAUAAAUUCUCUCUUCCGGUCUCCUCUUCGCAUAUGACGUUGAUGUCCAAGUUUUCUUGCCUUUCUUCUAUAACUCCCGUCAUUGGUGUGUGUCUCUCGAGAUGAAUGAUUCCCCCGGACACAAAUGUUUUUGAUAUAUAGGGGAAUAUCAUUGGUUCCCACUUGAUUUCCUCCCCCGUUAAUCGAGCUCUUCUUUUUUCUUACUUUUUUUCCAGCUCCCUUCUCCUUUGUUUCGCAUCCAGCUUAAAUCCUAAACCGAAGUAGUUUCUCUUGUCUUUCGGCAUUGGCGUUUCAACCCUUCCUUGCAGAUGUCUCCCAAGUCCCCUUCCGGGUAGGGCCCCUCUUCUGAUCGUCAGCUGGAGGCUCAUCCUCGUGGUUUUGGACAAUUUUGGCACCAGAAUUUUUCUUCCCUUGGCGAUGAACAUCGCAUUAACAAAUUCCAAAGAUCAAAAUGAGCAUUCGAUUGCUUCGUCAUCUGUCUCCAAAUAGGGUGCAUUAUUUCUCACAGUUGCAAUAAUAUCCUCCUCAGCCUUGAUCGUUAUCAAUCUCCCUUCCGAUACUAGCUUCAAUUUCUGAUGCAACGAGGAAGGCACUGCCCCAGCUGAAUGUAUCUAGGGCAUUCCCAACAAGUAAUUGUAUGAGGGCUUGAUGUCCAUUACGAGGAAAUCCACCUCAUAUGUGUUUGGCCCAAUCUGAAGAGGUACCUCGAUUCUGCCCAUCACCUUUCUCUCCGUGCCAUCAAAUGCUUUUACGAUGUUCUAGCACUCCUUCAUGUGAGAGCUGUCUAUAGGUAAUAUAUUCAGCGUGGUCAAAGGCAGGACGUUCAAAGCCGACCCAUUAUCAAUCAGUAUGCCUGGCAGCGUAUACCCUUUACAGCGCGUGGUGAUAUGCAGAGCUUUAGUCGACCCCAUGCCCUCGGGUGGUAUCUCGUCAUCAUUAAAGAAAAUAUAAUUGUCGGCACUUAUGUUGUUCACCAAACGGUCCAGCUUGUUAACGGAGAUGUCAUUGGCAACGUAUGUCUCGUUUAAGACCUUCAUUAGCGCACUAUGAUGAACUUUCGAGCUUAGAAGUAAGGCCAACACUGAAAUACGGGCUGGUUGUUUACGUAGCUGUUCCACCACGCUGUAUUCGCUAUGCUUUAGGAAUUUUAAAAACUCCUUGGCCUCCUCUUCAUUAACUGGCUCAUUAAUAGGUUUGGUUGCUUUUCCCUUCAUUUCCUCAACCAUCUGGGCUUUUCUUUUUGUGGGUUGCACCUCCUCAUUCGUCGUAUCGUAAUGCCUCUCGCUACAUGUAUAGAAACCCUUGCCUUGGUCCCCUAUUGAAGCGUCAACCAAGCUUUCCUUCCCCGGAAUUGUCACAUUACAAUCAUAAUUCCAUGGACCCUUUUGCUAUCUUUGUAAGGGAAGACUGCAGGUCUCUGGAUUAUGACCCUUGGUGGUAGUUGAACUCUAGCUUCAUUAUUUUUGGGUCUCGAUAUGAUAACCACGGGGUAGUUAACUAUUUGAUUUUGUACCGUCGACUCUCCCUCCAACGCACAUAUUUCUCCCUCUACGGGGUUUUUAUUCUCUUCAUAGAAUUCCAUUUCCUUAUUGUUCAUCAUGUUCUGCACUAGGGCCCUGAACUCUACACACUCUUGGAUUUCAUGCCCCACCUCAUUGUGGAACUCGCAGUAGUUCCUCUCUUCUUUGGAUUCUCUUCCCAAAUCCAACGUGAUCAAACCUCUCAUGACCAUCUCCCUCCACACUUGUCUCAAUGGAGUCCUGACUUUCGCAACCUCACACUUAAUCUUCUUGUUUUUGCCUUCGCUUAUCCCAUUCACUCCUUGGUCGGUGUGAUUGGGGAGUGGGUUUCCUGCUACAUUGGGCAUGGCUGAGUCAUCAAAUCUCACGAUUCCCACCUUAAUGAGUCUUUCGACCACUUUCUUGAAUGCAGUGCAAUUUUCGAUUGAAUGCCCGGUAAUUCCCGCGUGGUAUUCACAUUGGGCGUUUGUGUCAUACCAUUUGGGAUACGGGGGCUGCAGUGGCUCCAGGUAGAAAGGGGAUACCACAUGAGCGUUGAACAGGUUCUGGUACAACUCCCUAUACGUCAUAGGUAUAGGGGUGAAUUGUGGCCUUUCUGUGUUCUUCCUUGCAUUGGAUUCAGGGCUUUGUUGAUUGGUGGUCACCAUUUUGGGUUGAUUUACGGUAAAUGAUUUAGACUGCCUCUUGUUGAAUGUGCUCGUGUUGUUCACUUCAUUGUCUCUUUUCCUUGGGGCCGACUUUCUGGCACUCUCUCCUGACUCUAUUUUGCCGCUCCUCACAGUAUUCUCGAUCAUUUCCCCCGCUAUCACUAUGUCGGAGAAGCUUUUUGUGGUGCAUCCUAACAUAUGGGUGAUAAAAGGGGCUUUCAAGGUGUUGAUAAGGAGCAUUGUUGUCUCCUUUUCUAGAAGUGGCGGCUGAACUUGUAUGGCCACCUCUCUCCACCUUUGUGCAUACUGUCUGAAGCUUUCAUUUGACUUUUUCUCCAUAUUCUAGAGAGUGAUUCUGUCGGGGGUUAUGUCCGUCACAUGAUUGUAUUGCUUCAUAAAGGCCUGAGCCAGGUCCUUCCAUGAGUUAAUUUUGGCUCGGCUCAGUUGAUUAUACCACUUAGACGCCGCUCUAACCAGACUAUCUUGAAAGCAGUGGAUUAGUAACUGGUCAUUGUUAACAUAUCCCGUCAUUCGCCUGCAGAACAUGGUGAUGUGGGCUUCAGAGCAACUUGUUCUAUUGUAUUUCUCGAAUUCAGGUAUUUUGAAUUUGGGGGGGAGGACUAAAUCUGGGACCAGACUCAGAUCCUUGGCAUCAAUCCCUUGAUGAUGAUUCGCGCUCUCUAUGGCUUUGAAUUUUUCCUCGAGCCAUCUACACCAUUCUUCUAAUUGUUUUUGCGAAUCCAUCCUCGCCUUUUCCUCUUCAGUAACUUCAUCCAAGUCGGGAACGGGCGGAUAGUUUGGGUUGUUGACAAAGUUAGAGCCUAAGCCGGCUUGGAAGUUCAUCGGAAUUGAAGCUCCGGCUUGAACUUACUGGGGUAUGAUUGUGACCGAUGGUUUUUGUAGGUUAAUCUCGGGCUUCAUCGGUACAUGCAUCGGAGUAAAGCUAGGGGGUAUUGGAGAUCUUCAUUUGUUUCCUCAACUUGGUCCAUGGGGCCCUUUCCCUUAUCUAUUCCUCCCAACAGGAAUUUGGAUAACUGAGACAUCAUUUCUCUCUAGGACUCCAUCAUUUGCUCCUUCAUCUCUCGUUGAAUCUUGGCUAGCUGCUCUUCCAUCUGAGACUGCAUUUGUUCUUGCAUGUCCUUUUGCAUUUGCUCCAAUAUCUCGAGUCUCUUAUCCAUUGAUUUUUUUCUUGUACCGUAGGGGUGUGUGGUUGGUUGGUUUUCGUUGGUUUCCAGGUUACUGAAAUAAUUUUUAAUUAAUUAAUUAGAAAACUCUUAUGGCUUUUAAUGCAUAAUGAUAUGACGUAAUGCAAAUGCAUGAAUGCAAAGGAGGCAUCAAUUUUGAUUCAAUUGCCCUUAGAAAAUUUCACUCGAAAAUAAAAUCUUUUACAUAAAGUCAAAUUACAAAUAAAAUUUCGCUCUAACACUUAAAGUCCUAAUUUUUCUAAGCAACGAGGCCAACUCUUUUCCGCGAUCCGACUCCAACUCAUACUUCACGCUCAGUGUGUCCGCUUGGACCGCUAAAGUUUGCAAGUAGUCUGCUACCUCUCGAAUCUGGGUUAUGGCUUCCCCCAUAAGGUAAUCUCUGUUUCUGAUUUGGUCUUGCGCAUGGUGAAGCUGCUCUUUCCAACGACCCUCGUUUGCCUCGAAAAACUGGAUCCGCAUCUCACAGUUUUGCAGUGAUGCCUCUAACUCUCCUAUUCUUCCUUUCAUUUCUUCUAUCUUGCUCAAGCUUGCCCUCAACUCUAUUGCGGUGUUACGGUUUCGGUACUGAUGCAGAGACUUCUCGAGUUCUGCCACUCUAGCACUUAAUUCUCCUCGCUCAUUUCUGCUUACCGACAGACUCUUCUCCAAAUCUUUGUUUCGUGAUUGAGCUUCUCGAAAUUUUCUUUCCCACCAAUCGGUAUUGGUUUUUUUUUCUCGAAUUUCGUGGCGCCAUUGUUCAGAAGUCUUACCUAAACCCGCAGUCCUCAUAGAUAGGCGUAACUUCUUGUAGUCCGUCUUCAAGCUGUUUAGGUCUUCUUCGGCCUUAGUUUUUUCUUUCCUCCAUUUCUCAGCCUCUGACCUCUGAACAUCAGCGUCUAACCUUAGAUGCAUCUUCUCUUCUUCUAACUGUUCGAUCUUCCUCCCAAGCUCCAAACUGUUCUUCUUGAAAUCUUGCCUUAUAAUUUCCAAUUCUGAUGGGGCGACUUGUAAUUGUUCCCCGAUAGGUCAAGCAUUCUCCAAGCUUGGCCUAGGAAUAUUAUCGUUAAUCCUCUUUUUAAACCACUCGCUAUACUCAGGCGUUACCAUGGAACCGACGGCUUACCUCUUCAUCCAACAAGUUUGCUUCCAAGCAUCCGAUAACUCCCGAACUCUUUUCUUAUAAUGAGCACCUUUAAAUGAGAAUUCACUCUGAGCAAGCCCAUAGGUCAUGGGUACAAACUGCCUCGACUUAUAUUGCCUCAAGGCUAACAGUGGAGUAUACCCGGUAGCUCCCCAAAUUCCUAACAAUGGCACCCAAUCAAAGUUACCACAUCGGUACAUGAUCUCAUCAGGAACCAUCCAAUAAGAUCUCCACUCGAUAUCCCCUUCUUUGAGGUUUCGAAGAAUGUCCAUCCACUUCUCUUCUGAGAUAUCCUCUCUCCUCUGUAUAGCUGCUUCUUCUUUCAGCGGGAAAUAACCCUCGGAGAAGACUUGAUAGGAAACUUUUUCUACCUUCCAAAAGUGUCUGUGGAACCAUGCUAUCAAUAAUUGUGCACAUCCAAUGAAUCGCCCCUUGCCUAUCUUCCGACAUGAGCUCAAAGAUCUUAACGUUUCUGCCAAUAUUACCGGCACCGGUGUGAUUCCCUUUUCAAGGCGAUCAAACAAGUCAAUGACUGCCUCGUCCACGUGCCUCAAAGCCUUAGGAAAAAUCACUAAUCCGUAGAUGCUUAAGGCAAAUAUAUCAACCCUCUUUCUUUCAUCUAGAUGUGUCAAGAUCAAAUCUCAUAAAUUCUCCCAAGGGAUACAUUUGCUAUCUCCUUUUUGCUGAAUCCGAGUAAUGACCCAAGGCUCGCUCAUCCCAGAAAUGCUCAUCAGUUUCUUCACGAAAGUCUGACUACUAAAAACCCGAGCAUAAGUCUUCCGGACCUGAAUUUUGGGACACCUGAGCAAAGUAGUGUAUUCCUCCACGGUAGGUACCAAAUUCACUUCUCCAAAAGUGAAACACUUGUACACAAAAUUCCAAAACUGCACCAAGGCUCGGAACAAAUUCUUAUCCACUCUAAUGUCUAGCAGGUAGGAUACGUCACCAUAAUUUUGGUAAAACAAUUGCUUGGUUCCUUCAUUCCAACUAGCCCAAAUGUCUCUCAACUCUUGCAGCUCGUUCUGUACUACAUUGACUCGAGUGAAAUCUUGCAACUCCGAUACAUACCCUUGUGCCAAGCUAUCCCCUCUCUCCGAUUGCAGCCUCUCCGACCAUGCAUGAACGGCCGCAUUAUCCUCGACUUUACUAAGAAAUUCAUUCUCCAUGUCAAAUUUUCUAACUUAGUAAUUGAAUACGGAUUAAUGCCUCCUUUAGUAUGCAAUGUUAUGCAAAAAAGACAAAACCAAACAAAACACCGGUUAGUGUCAAAUAAUAGCGAUAGAAUGCAAGCACAUAAAUGAUAAUUAUGACGCAUAUACGGGUAAGUACUAAGGCUCGACGCGGCUUCAUCCAAGGAUGGUUCUUAAGGUUUACUAUAUGCGGUUUAGUUCUAGAGAUAAGGUACCCGAACCAGCAGAUUCCUCGGUCCUCACCCAUUAUAGGCUCAUAUGGACCAAGUUCAGUUCAGAGGAAUACAUUUCCUUAUGCCCAUGCGGAAGUGAAAACCUCACGAAGACAUAAGUACGGAUGUAUUCCGAAAGCGAUCCCCUAGCCCAUGCGGAGGUGAAAAUCUCACGAAAGCAUAGUUUCUCACUCCCACUUAAAAGGUGUGACCACAACGGUCAUGCAAUGCAAUACAAAAGUAUUCUAUAGGACUUGAACCAAAACAAAUGAAGUAAAAGGAUCAUCUGUUAAAAACCAAAUUUUAAAUUUUCGACAAAAGGACAGAAAAUAAUCAAUUUUGAGGCUUGACUCUCUUAUUGUCCCCAGUGGAGUCGCCAAGCUGUCGAAACCAUUUUUUUAUUUUGAUUUAAAAAUAAUGGAUCGACUUUUUGGAAAGCAAAAAUGGAGUCGCCACCAAUCUUUUCUUGUUUAGGUGUGAUUGGAUCACCUAGAAAUUUGGGUUGUUUUAAUAAAACAUUUUGGUUUACUAAAAAAAUGAUUUUGGUCUACGAAAUUUUGAGAAAAAGGUUCGGGAGUCGGUUAUGUGUGAGGAAGGAUUAGCACCCUCAUUAAGUCCAAAAUUGGUACCAAAUCGAUUAAGUACUGUCCUUAUGUCUAAGCUUUAAAAUAUGUUUUUGAAAUGUGAUUCCUUUUUGUUAACAUUUGAGUAACUCAAGUUAAUCAUCAAAAUUCUCUUGCCUAGGAGGAAUAUAGCAUCACAUCCAGCACGAUAGGACAUGAUCCUUGUAACACCCCGUACCCGAGACCGUUUUCGGAAGCGACCACGAGGUGCUAACAGACAUAAUUCAUGUAUGUUCACAGUCCAUUUUAAAAAUUUCCAGACAGCUGGGUAACUGCAUCACUGUCACCUUAAAAAUCAUAUCUUGAGUUCCAAAACUAAAAAAUCAGUUUCGUAAUUUUUUCCUGAAACUAGACUCAUAUAUCCAUCCACAAAUUUUUUUUCUAGAAUUUUUUGUCUAGCCAAUUAGUACAGUUUAUUAGUUAAAGUCUCCCCUGUUACAGGGUUCGACUACACUGACCUUCCUGCAUUGCUACUUAGAUAACUCCUUAUACAGGGCUUCAAUACUUAUGCCGUUUGUUUCUAAUGAAACUAGACUCAAAAAGGAAUCUAUACAUAUAUGGAAUGACUUAUAAUUAUCUCUGGUUAAUUUAUAAUGAAUUUCCAAAGUCAGAUCAGGGGAUCCAGAAAUCGCUCUGGCCCUGUCUCACGAAAACUUAAAUAUCUCUUAAAAUACGACUCAUAUGACCAUUUCGUUUCUUCCAUAUGGAAGUAGAUUCAUCAAGGUUCGAUUGCAUAAUUUAUUAACUAUUUAAUUCCAUUCCUACUAUUUUUAGUGAUUUUUCAAAUCCACACCACUGCUGCUGUCAGCAUCUGCCUUUAAGGUAGACUUUACCUAUUACAUAGUUUCCAUGAUUCAACUAACCCUUUAGCAUAUAUAGCACAAAGUAUGAUCGUGAUUAACCAUUCCAAUGGCCAAUCAUUGCCAAGCAUAUCCACACCUCUCAAUAACCAUAUACAUACAAAAUGAUUAUAACAUUAUGCUCAAAAAUAUAUAUAAGCCAUUUUCGCAUGGCUAUCCAAAUUUAUACAAAACCAAAGGGUACAUGACCCACAACAAAAAGGGUAGUCCUAUACAUGCCAUUUCAAAGUUCAACCAAAAGUGUACCAAAAGGGGCUUUGAUAGUGUGGACGACUUCGACUUCAACAAUCCCGAUUCCGAUAGCUGACGAACCAAAAUCUUAUCGCUGGGAUUUUACGAGCGUAUUAAUUGAAAUUAUUACAGCAAGAUCGCUCAUUCCCAAGCCAGGUACCUUCGGGAUUUAACCGGAUAUAGCUACUCGCUCGAAUGCCUUCGGGACAUAGCCCGGAUGUAGUAACUCGCACAAAUGCCUUCGGGACUUAGCCCGGAUAUAGUAACUCGCACAAAUGCCUUCGGGGCUUAACCCGGAUAUAGUAACUCGCACAAAUGCCUUCGGGACUUAGCCCGGAACUAGUCACUAGCGCAAAUGCCUUCGGGACUUAGCCCGGUUAUCAUCCGAAUAUUCAUGCACAUAUCAAUAAAUCAUGACACAUUUAUAUCUCAUUUUCAUAAUUAGAGUUCAAACACAAGUCACGUAUUAAGCACUCCCAUUUUCGGCUCACUAGCCACAUACAAACAGCAUGGUUUAGUUUGCUUUAUGACACGAUCUCUAUGCACAUACGGCUACCGUCGUACGUAUAGACUAAUUAACUCAUCAUAUAAUUCAAGUAGAAUCAUCAUAUCACCGUAUAUUUGUUAUGCUCAUACAUCAUGACUUAAUCAAAUCAUAAACUAAGUUUCAUUGCUCGAAAACUUACCUCGGAUGUUGUCGAACGAUUUCGAUGGCUAUUCGACCACUUUUUCCUUCCCUUUAUCGGAUUUAGUUCCCCUUUGAUCUUGAGCUAAUUCAAACAAAUUUAACUUAUUAAAGUCUCAUUAUGCUCGCUUAUGGCCGAAUAUGACAAGGAGUUUGAUAGGUCAUAUGGCCACCUUUAGCUCAAAUACAAAAUGGUCAUACGCAUUUUUAAUCACAUUGAGCAAUUUAACACAAUUAAUCUAACAUUUCCUCAUGUACACCUUUAUGACCGGAUACACAUAUCAUUAACCUAAUAUCACUUAACUAAGCACUUUAACAAGUUUUCUUUAACUAUACACACAUUCGGCAAUGACAAAGACAACUUAACAAACCUCAAAUUCAACUUAUAACAAUAUAUACUCAAUAUUCAAAGCAUUUAACAUCACUUCAUCAUAAUCUUACAUCAUGGCCGAAUGCUCCUUUUAAACCAUUUACCCUCACAAAGCAUAAAUUUCAUCAUCAAGCUUACAAGCUUAUAAUCCCAUGAAUUAUAACCUCCUAAUAUUCAUCCAACUCUCACUCAUUAGCUUCUAACAUAAAUCUCAAAAUCUAUAGUUCCUUUUUUUUCUACCCAUGACCGAAAUCUCCAACAACACCAAAUGAAAAUAUACUUCAUGGAUCUAAGGUAGAACCAAGAAAGGAACUCAUAAAUAUCAAGGUGUAAGCAUCUACCAUUGUUCAUCUAGAUUUAGCAUGAAACAUAACCAUCACCCUUAUUAAUCUCCAUAGCCGAAAACCUUACUCAAUCCAAAAUCAAAAUUUCAACAUGGGUUACCAAAAAUAACUUGAUAACUCACUCAAUAUCAACCAAAAUUUCAAGGACUAGCAUAAACUUUCUUACCUUAAUAUUCACCUAAGAUGGCCGAUUGCUUCAUCCCCUUCUUCCUCUUUUCAAUUCGGCCAAGAAGAACCAAAGAAUGAAGCCUUUUUUUUUUCUCUUCUCGUUUCGGCGAAAAUGGGGGAGCAAGGAUGAAACAACUUUGGUUUCUCCUCCCACUCCCCACAUAUUUUAUUGUUCUUAACACAACAUGUUGUCAUAAACUUUUCAUAAUAUGUUUUACCCAUCACAAUUUGUCUAUCCACCUUGUCAUGGCCGGCCACUACUAUUUAAGGGGGAAAAUUGACAUGCAAGUCCACCUUUAUGAUUAUAUGCACUAAUAGAUCUUUAUAGAUUAACCUAUCACAUUUCAAAAGUGUCACACAUAAGUCCUAUUAACUAAAUUCACGUGCAAUCAACUAAAUCGAAGCUUAAAACUUUCACACAUUCAUAUUCACAUAUUUUAGACAAUAAAUAUCAUAUUCAAAUAAUUUAGUGACUCGAUUUAGCGGUCCCGAAAUCGCUUUCCGACUAGGGUCACUUUAGGGCUGUCACAAUCCUUUAAGCCCUAAAAAACAUGAUGAAUUUUGACUUCAAAAAUUUAUAUGUUGAAAACCGCAAAAGGAUGCCCAAUUAUUUAGUCCAACGAGAGAAUCGAAACCCAACACGGUAGGGCACGGUUCUUUGAAUUUCCAAACGUUGAACAUUGUCUCGCUUUGGAAAACGUGAAUGAAAUUCCAAAGGGAUAUUCGAUUAUUUUGCACAAACGAGAAAUUGCAACCUAGCACGAUAGGGCACGAUUCCUCGAAUUGUCGAACGUCGAACAUUUCCUUCGUUUUAAAAUUUUUUUAGAAAACAUGAACAAAAUUCUAAAGAGACAUCCGAUUAUUUUGGGCAAACAAGAAAUUGCAACCCAGCACGAUAGGACACGAUUCCCCGAAUUGCUAAACAUCGAACAUCGUCUCCGUUUUAAAGAAUUUUUAAACGAAUAAUUAUAAACCGGCUUGGAAUACACUAAUUUAACUUGAAUUAGAUUUAGAGAAUUAGAAAUCAUAAAGUGAUAUUUAUAAAUUGAAAUAAAAUAAAAAAACGGGAUAAUAUACAUGAGCAUAAUAGAUGCAUUAAUAUAAAAUAAAAUAAGAGACGAGAAUAACAAAAAUUAGCUAACACGCGAAAUAAUCACAGAUCAAAUAUAACGAAAAGUAAAAUAAAAAUUUAAGUAAAUGAUAUAUACGUAAAUAAAUAAAUAACACAAACAAUAAUAACAAUAAUAAUAAUAACAAUAAUAAUAAUUAAUAAUAAUGCAAUGAUAGUAAAAAAGAAAAAAAGUGAUAACAAUAAUAUGUCAAAUAAUAAAGAUUAAUAAUAAUAAAUAUAGCAAAGAUAAUGGUAAGAAUAUACAAUAUAUAUAGUAUUAGAGGUAAAUACACAAUACAUACAUAUUAGAAAUAAUCAUAAAAAAAACAACUAUUAAUAACUAUAUAAAUAGAUAUAUAGUACUUGUAUAUACAUGGCAUAGUUUAAAAAAAAAACAUGAACAUAAGAUAGUAUGAGAAAUAAUAAUGUAUAAAUGAUGUAGUAUUAAGGUAUAUGCAUAACAAUAAAAAUGCAAUAUUAAAAGAUAUAUACACGUAAUAUAAAAAUGUACCCGUAUUAAAAAUAUAUAUACAUAAUAAAAAUGCAAUCUUUGAAAUAUUUACAUAGUAUAUACAUGCUAAAAAAAUAAUAAAAAAGAUAUUAAUGAUAUUACAUAGAUAUAUACAUAUAUCAAAAUGAACACAUGAUAAUACUCAAAGCAUGUACACAAUAUAUAAUAUAUAAAAAAUAUAUAAAUAUAAUAUUUACAAAAAAUACAUAUACGGUAUAAUGUUAAUAUGUAUGCAUAAUAUGGGGUAUGAUAUAAUAUUUAAAUGUGUAUACAUGAAAUAUAUAUUAGGAAUAAUAAUAAUAAUAAUAAUAGUAAAAUCGAAGAGCAUCUAAAAAACAUAAAUAAAUGAACUUUUUAGUAUAAAAAGUUAAAGGAAUAAAGAAAUAAGUAGAUGAACAAGAUAAUAAAUAAAAUAAUUUAGUUUGAAAUUAUAAACAGAAAAUAAAAUAAAUAGAACAAAUAAGACAAAAAUAACAAAUAAUGUUGAUGGAGCAAAAAGGACAACGUGAUAAGGAUAUUAAUAGUAAUAAUACAAUGACCAGUUGUAAUACGCCAUGAAUGUCAAAAUAAAGGCAAAAGAAUAAUACAAAACAAUGGUGAAAUAAAAAUAAAGAAAAAAACAAAAAUAGAAACUAAAAGAAUUUGAAUUAACAUAAAAAAAAUGAAGUCUAAGGCGUAAAAUAUAGGUAAAUUAAUAAAUAUAAAAAUAAAAUAAAAUAUAAGGGGUUGAAUUUAAAAAGAGCAAGUAAAUAAAACACUAAAGAAAAUAAAAAUAAAACCAGAAUAUUGAAAAUAAUAAAAAAAUGAAAAAUAAACAAGAUUAAAUGGUCAAGGAACCGAAAAUAAAAAAUAAAUGAACUUUAAGGGAUAAAUUAAAAAGUUAGAAUUUGAGCUAAAAUGAGAUACAUGUAAGGGAAGAGGGACUCAUAUUGUAAAUAAUGAAAAGAAGGCCAUCAAGGAUCGAAAUGAAUCACGCUGAAACAACGAGGGACUAGCUGGAAAAUAUUCCUAGCCUUUUAUGCACAGUGUUUCGAAGGACCCAGAUGUAACCCAAACGAAAUCUAAGAGCUAAAUUAAAAAAAAAAACAGAAAAUGGGGCCUGGUCGAAUAGAGUUGCAAAGGAGAAGGACUAAUCUAGCAAAUCUCCCAUUUACGGAUAAUGCACACCCCACUCCACCAAACACGCCGUUUCAUCAUCAUCAUUUAAACCAAAAAAAAAAGUUUCCUUUUUUUUAUUCCAUUACCAACUUUCCCUUUUUUAUUCCAUUACCAACUUUCCCCUUUUUUUUAUUUUUUAUUUUAUUAUUCCAUUACCAGCCUUCCCCCAACUUUAAAUAAAAAGAACAGAGAGCUUCCCUGCUCUCUCCCCCUUUCCCUUCUCUUUUAUUUUUUGCUAGGGUUUCAAAGAAACCCAUCAUUGCCGCCUUUCAACCGCCGCGCCACCACCGCACUCGGUGGCCGGCGAUACACCAAAAUAGGCUCCUUUAGCUCUCCCCUUUUUUACUUGUUGGAGGCUAGUUCCAAAAACAAAAAGACAAGGGUUCAACCCCCUUUUUAGACUCAACCACGCCGAACGAAGGGGAAGGCUCCGAUAACGCGGCGGCGGGGCCGGAUCUGGUGAGAAUCCUUCCUCUUUCCUUUUAUUUUUUCUUUUUUGUAUCUUUGUUUAAUAGAUUUGUAUAAAAAAUAAAAGAAAUAUUAAAGAAGCAAGAAAACGAAAAACGAAAAUAAAGAGAACAAAAUCGGAGAUCAACCUUCUGUGUAUUUUUUAUUUGAUUCCUUUAAAAAUACGCGAGUGAUACAAUUUUUGGAUCCUCCCUUUUACUAUGAAAAAUUGAAGGCUUUAUAGCCAAAAACCAUACAUUUUCUAGCUAUUUCUUUGCUCCAAUUGCAGGUGUUGAAGUUGUGGAGAACGAGGGGCGUGAAACAUGGGCGAAAACAUGGAGCGGGGUAUACGGGGAUCCUGUCUGGAGUGCUGACGUGGGGGUUGAGUUUGUAGUCUGCUGAAAAUUUUUGAGAUAGUGGGCUGGUAGGGUUAGUUUAGGUUGUGGGCUGAUGGGGGUUUUAAUUUGGGCCAUGUAUUAUUAAUUAAACUGUUUUAUUAUUAUUAUUAUUUUGAUUUGGGCUCGGGCUAAGGUUGAAAUUAGGUUUGGUUUUAUUGGGCUCCAGACAAAAUUUGGGCCUUACAACAUAUUUACGUUCUAAAUAUGUUAUUUCUACACACAUACGUCUAUGAUAAAAUUUUUAGUAUAUAUUAAGAGUUAUAUUAAAUUAAUAUCACUCAUGAACUGAAUCUCAAUAUAAUUGUAAAAUUAUCAAAAAAAAAAUUAAAAGCAACAAAUAAUUAUUGUGAGGA